rnacentral:rRNA from 1 species
AUACGGAGGGUGCAAGCGUUAUUCGGAAUCACUGGGCGUAAAGGACGCGUAGGCGGGUUGGCAAGUCAGAUGUGAAAUCCUACAGCUUAACUGUAGAACUGCAUUUGAAACUGCUAACCUAGAGUAUGGGAGGGGGAGAUGGAAUUAGUGGUGUAGGGGUAAAAUCCGUAGAUAUCACUAGGAAUACCGAAAGCGAAGGCGGUCUCCUGGAACAUAACUGACGCUAAGGCGUGAAAGCGUGGGGAGCAAACAGGAUUAGAUACCCCAGUAGUCC